CGAACCGGGGGAACUGAAACAUCUAAGUACCCCGAGGAAAAGAAAUCAACCGAGAUUCCGAAAGUAGCGGCGAGCGAAAUUGGACUAGCCCUUAAGCUUUACACGCGUUAGACGAACGGUCUGGAAAGUCCGACGAUACAGGGUGAUAGUCCCGUAGUUGACGACGUGUGUUCAGUGAAAUCGAGUAGGGCGGGACACGUGAUAUCCUGUCUGAAUAUGGGGGGACCAUCCUCCAAGGCUAAAUACUACUGACUGACCGAUAGUGAACCAGUACCGUGAGGGAAAGGCGAAAAGAACCCCUGUGAGGGGAGUGAAAUAGAACCUGAAACCGUGUACGUACAAGCAGUAGGAGCAGGCUUUGUCCUGUGACUGCGUACCUUUUGUAUAAUGGGUCAGCGACUUAUAUUCAGUGGCAAGGUUAACCAUCUAGGGGAGCCGUAGGGAAACCGAGUCUUAACUGGGCGUUCAGUCUCUGGAUAUAGACCCGAAACCAGGUGAUCUAGCCAUGGGCAGGUUGAAGGUUGAGUAACAUCAACUGGAGGACCGAACCGACUAAUGUUGAAAAAUUAGCGGAUGACUUGUGGCUAGGGGUGAAAGGCCAAUCAAACCUGGAGAUAGCUGGUUCUCCCCGAAAGCUAUUUAGGUAGCGCCUCGGACGAAUACUACUGGGGGUAGAGCACUGUUAAGGCUAGGGGGUCAUCCCGACUUACCAACCCUUUGCAAACUCCGAAUACCAGUAAGUACUAUCCGGGAGACACACGGCGGGUGCUAACGUCCGUCGUGGAGAGGGAAACAACCCAGACCGCCAGCUAAGGUCCCAAAUUACUACUAAGUGGGAAACGAUGUGGGAAGGCUCAGACAGCCAGGAUGUUGGCUUAGAAGCAGCCAUCAUUUAAAGAAAGCGUAAUAGCUCACUGGUCGAGUCGGCCUGCGCGGAAGAUGUAACGGGGCUAAGUAGUAAACCGAAGCUGCGGCAAUAUACUUUUGUAUAUUGGGUAGGGGAGCGUUCUGUAAGCGGUUGAAGGUGUGUGGUAACGCAUGCUGGACGUAUCAGAAGUGCGAAUGCUGACAUGAGUAACGAUAAAGGGGGUGAAAAACCUCCUCGCCGGAAGACCAAGGGUUCCUGUCCAACGUUAAUCGGGGCAGGGUAAGUCGACCCCUAAGGCGAGGCCGAAAGGCGUAGUCGAUGGGAAACGGGUUAAUAUUCCCGUACUUCUUACAAUUGCGAUGGGGGGACGGAGAAGGCUAGGUGGGCCUGGCGACGGUUGUC
rnacentral:rRNA from 1 species